rnacentral:rRNA from 1 species
UACGUAGGGACCGAGCGUUGUCCGGAAUCAUUGGGCGUAAAGAGCGUGUAGGCGGCCAAUUAAGUCCUGCGUGAAAUCUCGGGGCUCAACCCCGAGCGGUCGUGGGAAACGGGUUGGCUAGAGUGCGGGAGAGGAGAGUGGAAUUCCUGGUGUAGCGGUGAAAUGCGCAGAUAUCAGGAAGAACACCCGUGGCGAAGGCGGCUCUCUGGAACGCAACUGACGCUGAGACGCGAAAGCGUGGGGAGCAAACAGG